AACCUUGUUGGUGGACACACCCACUGACUCUUUCCUCAGUCAUUCUCUUUGCAGUGAUGUGUCCAAGAAUUUGUUGAAGUGAUACAUUCUUCCCUGAUGACAGCAUUUUGACAUUUUCUCCCUCCCUUUCAGAUUUCCACCAUAUACUGAAUCUGACGCAAAACUGAUGCUUCAUGAAGAACAUUGCCGCUGCAAGAGUGUGAUCUGUAGACGAGCAGUCUCCAAGCCAUCUAUGAUGCAGACCCUCAGCUACUAUCCAGACCUACUGAUCAUAGCCUGGUGGAGACUAUGUCAUGAAGGUUCCCAAAACUGUGUAAGAUUAGAGGCAGUGCCAGGAGCACCUGUGCAACUUGGAGGACAAUUUUUCCCCCCUCUUCAUGCUUACUUUUUCCUUGGCCUCUCUGGGGUUUAUGUCAGCUUCCACCACUCUGAACUACAGAAUUACCCAGGCAUACACUGCUCUUGUUCUUUUCAAAAUCUUCCCCAAACAGGGAGAUGACCUUGGGUCCUUUACUCGAAGCUCAAUUCACUGGAUAAAAGCAAAACAAAUGAUAACAACAAAGUGCACCAAAAGCUGGGGCGUGUCUGAGACGGAGGAUUUAAAACAAGCCGAGAGCCGUGGUUCAGAGCCCUGUUCUUGCUGCACGCCUGUAGAUGCCUUGAGUCAAGAUCCCACAAACUAAAGUUUGCUCCUACUUCCCUUUUGGGAUGCUUGCUCUCCAUCCCCUCCAGGCUGGUGGAAUGGUCCAGGAAUCUCCAGCAGCCUGCUUUCUCUCCUGGCCUCCUAGCCUUGCUAUUUCCUGGAGAGUGACUCACAAUGUAUUCAUGGUCACCACCAUCCCCUGAAGCAAAGAGGUGGCUCUCCAGGGUGAGAGGCUCUCCCAGGCUCCACCUACUUUCGAAGAUGACUAAUAACAGGUAUCCACCACACCCCUGUCAUCUUCAAACAGAACACUGCCUCUAGCCAACUCACAGAACCCUGUCUAUUAGGCCCGUCUAACAAGUCCUUGUGGUCAUCAGCAAACAGGAGUCAUUUCUCAGUCUCUACUAGGCUGAAGGUUAUUGGGUGGAGGACAAAGACUACUGGGUGACAGAAAGUGAGGAUGAUUAAGGGGGAGGGCCACUUACAUUACUAAGCACUGGUAAAUGGUAUUUCAUGAGAUGCACUAUCUUGAGGAGCAGAAAGGCACUCGCUUCUUAGUUGUGUCCCUUAUUGGCUAUUGUUUGACAACUGAAUAAACCCCAGUUGGUUGAUUUUAUUCAUAAAAAUGUUAUUCACACAUUUUUUUC
rnacentral:lncRNA from 1 species